rnacentral:lncRNA from 1 species
UUUUUUUUUUUUUUUUUUUUUGUAUUUUUAGUAGAGAUGGGGUUUCACCAUAUUGGCCAGGCUGGUCUUGAACUCCUGACCUUGUGAUCCACCUGCCUCAGCCUCCCAAAGUGCUGGGAUUGCAGGCGUGAGCCAACGCGCCCAGCGGUCUAUUCUGUUUUUAAUCCUUCUGGUUGUAUUAUGAAUUUCUUGUAGUUAAUUUUUCAGCUCUGCCAUAUCAGAUUGGCUCUUUCUUAAAACAGUUAUUUCAUCUUUCAGUUAUUGUAUUGUUUCAUUGUAUUCCUGAGAUUCUGUGAAUUGGGUUUUGACUUUCCCCUAAAUUUCAAUAAUCUUUGUUGCUAUCCAGAUUUUGCAUUCGAUGGCUCUGGUUUCAGCCAUUUCAGCCUGCUUAAGAACCAUUACUGUAAGGUAGGGCAGACAUUUGGAGAUAAGAGACACUCUAGUUUUUUGAAUUGUCAGAGUUUUUGCACUAGUGCUUUCUCAUCUCUGUGGGCCAAUAUUUCUCCAAUCUUUGAGGUUGCUGUCCUUUGCAUGAGUAUUAUUGCUUUUAUAAUCUUUGAAGCCCUUGAGGAUUUGACUGUAGUAUAAGUUGGGCUCAGUCAACUGGCUUCAUUUAUGGAUUAUUUGAGGGGGCAAGGCUCAGUUCAGCUUCCCUGUGUUGCAUGCUAUAACCCUGCGGGGUUGAUACUAGGCCCACACCUUGGUUCUCUGGACCUUCAAAGUUAGAGGGUGUUGUGCUGGAGGGGCUGAGGUAUUCCUCGUCUAACAGGGGGCUGCUAGCAAAAGCACUUGAUUGGGGUGGUUGUGGCAGGGACUGUGCAUAGGUAUGCCAGCAGCAGCAAUAGUACAGUAGGGUAUGCACUCACUGGCAGGGGUAGGGCGGUGGCAUCUGCACUUUCUUGUACUGGCAGUGGCAGGGCAGAAAGGUACACCUGCAUACAUGUGUCAGCAAAGUGCUAGGGGGAAGUCGUGAGUAAGCAUGUGCCGAUAAACCAAUGGAAGAGGCUGCAGGUGUGUGCCUGCCAAUUGAAGCUCUCUGAUGGUUAGGUGGAGUGUCUUGGCAAAGGAACUAUGAUAGCAGCUUUGGGACAUGCCCUGUUUGGGCAUUUGAGGCCGCACUGUCAGUGGGUGUGGCCAGGAAGGGGCGCCAGGAGAGACUGACAGACAAACGGGCACUUAGAUCGGAUUGGUCUUGUA